rnacentral:rRNA from 1 species
UCUCAAGCUACUAAGGGCGCACGGUGGAUGCCCUGGCGCCAGGGGCCGAGGAAGGACGCUGUCGGCGGCGAUAGGGCCGGGGAGGUGCCUAGCAACCUUCGAUCCGGCCGUCUCCGAAUGGGGAAACCCGGCGCGGGUCAUGCCGCGUCAUCCCGCACUGAAUUCAUAGGUGCGGGAAGGCCAGUCGGGGAACUGAAACAUCUCAGUACCCGGAGGAAGAGAAAUCAACAGCGGCACCCGCGAAGUCCGUCCGGACUUCGCGGGUGCCCGGAGAUUCCCGGAGUAGUGGCGAGCGAAACGGGAAGAGCCCAAACCCGCGGUGCGUGAUAGCCCGCAGGCGUUGCACCGCGGGGGUUGCAGGGCGUCGUCGGGCCGGACUGCGGUCCGGCCGGGAAGUGAGCAAUCCCUGCUCUAGCCGAAAUGUCCUGGAACGGCAUGCCGGAGACGGUGAGAGCCCGGUAGGCGAAAGGGCAGGGACUUCCUGGGCGACGUGCCUGAGUACCACGGGACACGUGGAACCCCGUGGGAAGCUGGGGGGACCACUCUCCAAGGCUAAAUACCCCUGGCGACCGAUAGCGCACGAGUACCGUGAGGGAAAGGUGAAAAGAACCCCGGGAGGGGAGUGAAACAGAACCUGAAACCGUGUGCCUACAGACAGUCGGAGGGCUAUGCCGGUCCCUUCGGGGAUCGGAAUGCCUGACGGCGUGCCUAUUGAAGAAUGAGCCGGUGAGUUGCACUGCGUGGCGAGCUUAAGGGAGAGAAUCCCGGAGGCGGAGGGAAACCGAGUCUGAACAGGGCGCCGCUCCCGGAGGGGAGGGCGCACCAUCCGGUGUGCCAGUCGCGCGGUGCAGACCCGAAACCGGGUGAGCUACCCAUGGCCAGGGUGAAGCGCGGUUAGUCCCGCGUGGAGGCCCGAACCCACUGGUGUUGCAAUACCAGGGGAUGAGCUGUGGGUAGGGGUGAAAUGCCAAUCGAACCCGGAGAUAGCUGGUUCUCCCCGAAAUGCAUUGAGGUGCAGCCCCGGCGGAGCCGCCCGGAGGUAGAGCACUGGAUGGGCUAGGGCGGGAGGACCCGUACCGACCCCAACCAAACUCCGAAUGCCGGGUGGGUGCUCGUCGGGAGUGAGACGGUGGGGGAUAAGCUCCAUCGUCGAGAGGGAAACAACCCAGACCGCCAGCUAAGGUCCCGGAAUGAUGGCUAAGUGGGAAAGGAAGUGGCACCGCUAAGACAGCCAGGAGGUUGGCUCAGAAGCAGCCAUCCUUGAAAGAGUGCGUAAUAGCUCACUGGUCGAGCGAUGCUGCGCCGAAGAUUCAACGGGGCUCAAGCCAUCUACCGAAGCUGCGGGUCCGGUGGCCUCGGUCGCCGGACGGUAGGGGAGCGUUCCGCGGUAGGUUGAAGGCAGACCGGGAGGACUGCUGGACGACGCGGAAGUGCGAAUGCCGGCAUGAGUAGCGAAAAGGCAGGUGGGAAUCCUGCCCGCCGUAAGGCCAAGGCUUCUUACGGAAGGCUCGUCCGCGUAAGGUUAGGCGGGACCUAAGGCGAGGCCGACAGGCGUAGCCGAUGGACAGCCGGUCGACAUUCCGGCCCCGCUCGGCAUCCGCAACGAGCCGCGGGGGGACGCAGGAGGGUAAGCCUACCGGGUGGUGGACGCCCCGGGCU